rnacentral:rRNA from 1 species
AUUGAACGCUAGCGGGAUGCUUUACACAUGCAAGUCGAACGGAGUGGCGGACGGGUGAGUAAUAUAUCGGAACGUGCCCAGUAGCGGGGGCUAACUACUCGAAAGAGUGGCUAAUACCGCAUACUCUUGGAUCGGCCGAUCUCGGAUUAGCUAGUUGGUGUGGUAACGGCUAACCACGGCAACGAUCCGUAGCUGGUGUGAGAGGACGACCAGCCAACCUGGGACUGAGACACGGCCCAGACUCCUGCUGGAGGCAGCAGUGGGUAAUUUUGGACAAUGGGGGAAACCCUGAUCCAGCCAUCCCGCGUGUAUGAUGAAGGCCUUCGGGUUGUAGAGUACUUUUGGCAGAGAAGCGGUAUCUGCAGAAUAAGCACCGGCUAACUACGUGCCAGCAGCCGCGGUAAUAC